CAGAAGACUGAAUGUAUUUAGUAUGUUAAGAGAAACUUACUAAAAUGUAACUAAAUAAAUAUAAAACUAAUGCUAACAUUAGUUAUCAUAUCAUAUUAUUUAAAUAAUAUUAAAAUGACACUGGUUUACCAUCAAAACAAGAGCACAUUUGUGAACUUAGUUUAAGUUAAAACUCUAAAAUUACUAACUGGUAAUAAAAUAAAUUAAAGUUAAAACUAAAUAAAUAAUUAUAAAAAUGAAAAAAAAAAAACACACACCACAAAAACAUCUUACUAAAAUUAAUAUAGAAAAUAUAACUAAUUUAAAAAUAUUAAUAAAAACUCUCAAUGAUACUAAAAUAAAUGACAUGAUUUUAAAUUAGUUUUAGAGGUGGAGCAAGUUUUUACAUUUUGAUUAUUGGGAUAAAAUAUUUUUAUUUAGAAUUAGGUGUACACUGCUUUUUAAAGACUUAGGGUCAGUGCAUCAUGUGACACUGAAGACUGGGGUAAUGAUACUGAAAAUUCAGCUUUACAUCACAGGAGUAAAUUACAUUUUACAAUAUAUUCAAAUAGAAAACAGUUAUUUUAAAUUGUAAUAUUUCACCUUUUUUUGAUCAAAUAAAUGCAGACUUAGUGAGCAGAAGAGUAUAUUAAUAAAAUAAAAUCUCGGUUUUGAUUUCAGUUGUCGGUUCUCUCACUUAUUUAUUGACUUGACAAUUUGUAAUUUCUCUGUUCCGCUUGACAGAUCCUGCACUUCACGAGCAAAAAAGACUCAUGUCGUCAGAAAUUAUACAGCACAUGGAGAGUGACUUUUAUGAUUUUGAGAUGAACUGCGGUCUGCUGCUGCUUCAGACAGAUGAUGCUUCCUCCAGCUAUUUACUGUUGUGGUUAGUAAAAUCAUGUUAAUGUAUAAUGUAUUCAUUAAUCCUAAUAAUUAUAUAUUAUUAUAAUUAUUAUAUAUAAUACAAAAUAAAAUAAAUUAAUAAAAUGUUUUGAUAUAAU
ensembl:lncRNA